rnacentral:rRNA from 1 species
GACGAACGCUGGCGGCGUGCUUAACACAUGCAAGUCGAACGGAAAGGCCCUGCUUUUGUGGGGUGCUCGAGUGGCGAACGGGUGAGUAACACGUGAGUAACCUGCCCUUGACUUUGGGAUAACUUCAGGAAACUGGGGCUAAUACCGGAUAGGAGCUCCUGCUGCAUGGUGGGGGUUGGAAAGUUUCGGCGGUUGGGGAUGGACUCGCGGCUUAUCAGCUUGUUGGUGGGGUAGUGGCUUACCAAGGCUUUGACGGGUAGCCGGCCUGAGAGGGUGACCGGGCACAGUUGGACUGGGGUACGGCCCAGACUCCUACGGGAGGCAGCAGUGGGGAAUAUUGCACAAUGGGCGGAAGCCUGAUGCAGCAACGCCGCGUGCGGGAUGACGGCCUUCGGGUUGUAAACCGCUUUCGCCUGUGACGAAGCGUGAGUGACGGUAAUGGGUAAAGAAGCACCGGCUAACUACGUG